AUGCACCGCAUCCCGGCGGGGGCUGCAGCCGCUGCUGCCCUCCUGAAAGGAGGAAGACCCAACAAGCGGAUCCUUGUUUACGACUGCCGCGAUGAGGAAGAUGUGGCGAGUAAAGUUCUGGAAACCAGGGGUUUGGACUUCCAUGGGUUCCUCCAAAUCCUCCACAAGGGUUCUCAAGGAGCGACUGCUCCUCUUUAUGACCCUCCAUGGUCCCAGACAACCCAAAAACCUGCAGGACCCGUAAAGGUCAACACUCGGGUUCAUGCGACUGAAGCAUAAACAUUUAUAUUACUUAUAGACAAGAGUAUUUUCU
rnacentral:lncRNA from 1 species